GGAAACGAUAGCUAAUACCGCAUAACAGUAGAUAUCGCAUGAUAUUUGCUUGAAAGGUGCAAUUGCACCACUACCAGAUGGACCUGCGUUGUAUUAGCUAGUUGGUGAGGUAACGGCUCACCAAGGCAACGAUACAUAGCCGACCUGAGAGGGUGAUCGGCCACAUUGGGACUGAGACACGGCCCAA
rnacentral:rRNA from 1 species